CGGAUCUUUCGACUAGAGGUGCUCCUGAAAUAUAUUCAUGAAGGGAAAGACGAUCCACCAACUAGCAGACGGUGCGGGUCCAUCCUUUGUACUGGGAACCUUAUGGCUAUUAAGUAUCGUCGAGUUGCAGAACAGCAACAUUAAUUUGUCGGGCUUGUACAGCAGAUGGCGGGUGUGUUUGCCAAGCACUACAUUUUCCUAGACCAAGACUCGGCCUUAAUGACGAUGAUGAUGAAUUGAUGAGGCUUCUGCCAGCAUAUAGGCGACACUUUAGGCGCCGCGGGACCACUGCUACAGGCGCUUGUUGACUCCAUGCGGCAUGUCUUCUAAGGAGCCUGGAAUCUUCGCCUCGUCGCAGCCCGAAACCUCUUGCGAAGCCAGGAUAGCUGUCAGGUCGCCCGAACAUCAGCAGCAAAGGGCCUUUUGUUCAAGAUGCAGGACUCGCAACCUUUUCUCGCAUUCCCCCUCGUCGAAGGUCGAAGUGGCAGCCUCCAGGUCCCUCCAGGAACUCAUUGCUUCUGUUUUUUUGUAUGAAACAUCCUCUUGCUGGACGGAAUGGCCAUUUUAAAGUUUGCCAGAUCCUUUGAUACAUCCUCCGGUCCUGCAAGAUGGCAGUCGAGGCGGCACAGAUGCCACUAUUUUCAAGGAUUCCUUUAUCACUGGAAAUGAUGGCAGUAAUGUCGUCUAGGCUGCCAUCUCACAGAGUCGAAGGACACGAAGGAGUUGUCCGAGGACCUGGCCAACUUUAAAUGAUCGGAGUAGUGAUCGUUUUUUGUAGCUAUCCGGAUAGAGAUUACCCAUUGAAUACCCCAAGGCAGUGCCUAUCGUCUUGUUGAAUUUCAUCAAAAUUUACAAGAUAUAUUUGUAUCAAUAAAUUUUUAUAUUUUUUAGAGGUAAAACAAGA